GUCCAGUGUGGUGUAGUGGUUUCAUUGUUGCAUUAUGACUCCAGAGACUGGGGUUUGAAUCCCAGCUCGGCCA